CCCUUAGAGUUUGAUCCUGGCUCAGAUUGAACGCUGGCGGCGUGCCUAACACAUGCAAGUCGAGCGGUAACAGGUGUAGCAAUACAUGCUGACGAGCGGCGGACGGGUGAGUAACGCUUGGGAAUCUGCCUAUUAGUGGGGGACAACCCGGGGAAACUCGGGCUAAUACCGCAUACGCUCUACGGAGGAAAGCCGGGGACCGCAAGGCCUGGCGCUAAUAGAUGAGCCCAAGUCGGAUUAGCUAGUUGGUAGGGUAAUGGCCUACCAAGGCUACGAUCCGUAACUGGUCUGAGAGGACGACCAGUCACACCGGAACUGAGACACGGUCCGGACUCCUACGGGAGGCAGCAGUGGGGAAUAUUGGACAAUGGGGGAAACCCUGAUCCAGCGACGCCGCGUGGGUGAAGAAGGCCUGCGGGUUGUAAAGCCCUUUCAGUGGGGAAGAAAAGCCUCGACCUAACACGUCGGGGUCUUGACGUAACCCAUAGAAGAAGCACCGGCUAACUCUGUGCCAGCAGCCGCGGUAAUACAGAGGGUGCGAGCGUUAAUCGGAAUUACUGGGCGUAAAGCGCAC
rnacentral:rRNA from 1 species